AGAGCGAACGCUGGCGGCAGGCUUAACACAUGCAAGUCGAGCGGGCGUAGCAAUACGUCAGCGGCAGACGGGUGAGUAACGCGUGGGAACAUACCUUUUGGUUCGGAACAACACAGGGAAACUUGUGCUAAUACCGGAUAAGCCCUUACGGGGAAAGAUUUAUCGCCGAAAGAUUGGCCCGCGUCUGAUUAGCUAGUUGGUGAGGUAACGGCUCACCAAGGCGACGAUCAGUAGCUGGUCUGAGAGGAUGAUCAGCCACAUUGGGACUGAGACACGGCCCAAACUCCUACGGGAGGCAGCAGUGGGAAUAUUGGACAAUGGGCGCAAGCCUGAUCCAGCCAUGCCGCGUGAGUGAUGAAGGCCCUAGGGUUGUAAAGCUCUUUUGUGCGGGAAGAUAAUGACGGUACCGCAAGAAUAACGCCCGGCUAACUUCGCGCCAGCAGCCGC
rnacentral:rRNA from 1 species